GCUUUGUUGGUUCAGUGGUAGAAUUCUCACCUUCCAUGCAGGAGACCCAGGUUUGAUUCCUGGCCAAUGUA
rnacentral:tRNA from 1 species